UACGAAGGGGGCUAGCGUUGCUCGGAAUCACUGGGCGUAAAGCGCACGUAGGCGGCUUGUUAAGUCAGGGGUGAAAUCCUGGAGCUCAACUCCAGAACUGCCUUUGAUACUGGCGAGCUUGAGUCCGGGAGAGGUGAGUGGAACUGCGAGUGUAGAGGUGAAAUUCGUAGAUAUUAGGAAGAACACCGGUGGCGAAGGCGGCCCACUGGCUCGAUACUGACGCUGAGGUGCGAAAGCGUGGGGAGCAAACAGG
rnacentral:rRNA from 1 species